rnacentral:ncRNA from 1 species
UUAAGGUUGCAUCCGAUGGAUGCGCAAAAGAGAAUCCGGUGAGAAUCCGGAACGAUGCCGUCACUGUGUAUGGGAGUUGCUUUCAAAGCCACUGGGAGACCGGGAAGGGAGAGCGGUGAUGAUCAAAGUCAGGAGAACUGCCUUGACGU